AGAUGCUGACGGUUGUGUCGCGGAAAGCUUCGACCCUCGGUCUAAACGGGUGUCGACGGCUACGCUCGACCCAGUCACCGUACAGAUGACUAUCGACGGCGUCUUGGUGAACAUGGAGCUAGACACGGGAGCGGCUGUUUCCGUCAUGUCAACGACUCAGUUCCGUCAGCUCUUUCCUUCGGCUGUACUGGAGCCCACAACAGUAAAACGUCGUACCUACACAGGAGCACUGGUACGACCCCAGGGGGUGUCCUCGGUCAACGUGCAGCACGGCGAACAUUCGGCGCGUCUUCCGCUCUACGUCGUGAACCACAAGGGGCCACCUCUACUGGGCCGGGAGUGGCUACACGCCGUCCACAAGACUGGGCGAAAAUCUGGAAACUGAAAAACAUUUCAAGGUCACACACAACCCAUAUCAGCGUGAAAAAGAGGCUCGACGCAUUGUUGGCGAAGUACCAACCCAUUUUCAAAGAUGAGUUAGGUACGAUAACGGAAGAGCGCGCCGAACUUUUUCUUAAACCUGAUAUGAAGCCGAGAUUCCUAAAAGCCAGGAAUGUUUCAUUUGCGUUGCAAAAAGCUUUUGACGCCGAGUUCGCUAAGAUGGAGAAACUGGACUUUAUCUCGCCGGUUACGACGUCGGAAUACGCUACGCUGGCGGUACCGGCAAUCAAGAUGGUCGCAUAAGGAUUUGCGGCGACUACAAGACGACCGUUAACCCGUGCCUUGAUGUCGACCGCUACCCAUUGCCGAAGGUGGAAGGCCUGUUCACAGCUUUGUCGGGAGCAGGAACUUCGCUACCUCGGUCACAGGAUCAGCGCACAAGGCAUCUCGGCAACGACGGAGAAGCUUGACGCACUCCUCAAGGCGCCAGCCCCUAAAGACAGGCAGCAGCUGCAGUCGUUCCUGGGAGUCGUCAAUUUCUACGGCAAGUUCGUUCCUAACCUAGCAACGGUAGCGCAACCAUUUUUCACGUUGCUACGUAAAAACGCCCCGUGGUACUGGGAUAAGCGCUCCCAUGAAGCGUUCACCAAGAUCAAGAGCUUGCUAGCUUCUCCGCCCGUUUUGGCGCACUACGACCCAUGCAAACCCUUGCAGCUAUCAUGCGAUGCAUCACAAUAUGGUCUAGGCGCGGUUCUUUCUCAAGUUUUGGAUGAUGGCAGCACGAAGCCAAUCGCUUUCGCAUCGCGGACGUUGACCGAUGCC